rnacentral:rRNA from 1 species
GACGAACGCUGGCGGCGUGCUUAACACAUGCAAGUCGAACGGAAAGGCCCUGCUUUUGUGGGGUGCUCGAGUGGCGAACGGGUGAGUAACACGUGAGUAACCUGUCCUUGACUUUGGGAUAACUUCAGGAAACUGGGGCUAAUACCGGAUAGGAGCUCCUGCUGCAUGGUGGUGGUUGGAAAGUUUCGGCGGUUGGGGAUGGACUCGCGGCUUAUCAGCUUGUUGGUGGGGUAGUGGCUUACCAAGGCUUUGACGGGUAGCCGGCCUGAGAGGGUGACCGGCGACAGUGGGACUGAGAUACGGCCCAGACUGCUACGGGAGGCAGCAGUGGGGAAUAUUGCACAAUGGGCGGAAGCCUGAUGCAGCAACGCCGCGUGCGGGAUGACGGCCUUCGGGUUGUAAACCGCUUUCGCCGGUGACGAAGCGUGAGUGACGGUAAUGGGUAAAGAAGCACCGGCUAACUACGUG